CCUACGGGGGGCAGCAGUGGGGAAUAUUGCACAAUGGGGGAAACCCUGAUGCAGCGACGCCGCGUGAGUGAAGAAGUAUUUCGGUAUGUAAAGCUCUAUCAGCAGGGAAGAAAAUGACGGUACCCGACUACGAAGCCCCGGCUAACUACGUGCCAGCAGCCGCGGUAAUACGUAGGGGGCAAGCGUUAUCCGGAUUUACUGGGUGUAAAGGGAGCGUAGACGGCGAGACAAGUCAGAAGUGAAAGCCCCGGGCUCAACCCUGGGACUGCUUUUGAAACUGCCGGGCUGGAGUGCGGGAGAGGGAAGCGGAAUUCCUAGUGUAGCGGUGAAAUGCGUAGAUAUUAGGAGGAACACCAGUGGCGAAGGCGGCUUACUGGACUGUAACUGACGUUGAGGCUCGAAAGCGUGGGGAGCAAACAGGAUUAGAUACCCGAGUAGUC
rnacentral:rRNA from 1 species